rnacentral:rRNA from 1 species
AGCGAACGCUGGCGGCAGGCCUAACACAUGCAAGUCGAACGAAGUCUUCGGACUUAGUGGCGGACGGGUGAGUAACACGUGGGAACGUACCUUUUGGUUCGGAACAACUCAGGGAAACUUGAGCUAAUACCGGAUGAGCCCUUAGGGGGAAAGAUUUAUCGCCGAAAGAGCGGCCCGCGUUAGAUUAGCUAGUUGGUGAGGUAAAGGCUCCCCAAGGCUACGAUCUAUAGCUGGUCUGAGAGGAUGAUCAGCCACACUGGGACUGAGACACGGCCCAGACUCCUACGGGAGGCAGCAGUGGGGAAUCUUGCGCAAUGGGCGAAAGCCUGACGCAGCCAUGUCGCGUGAAUGAUGAAGGUCUUAGGAUUGUAAAAUUCUUUUACCAGGGACGAUAAUGACGGUACCUGGAGAAAAAGCCCCGGCUAACUUCGUGCCAGCCGCCGCCGUAAAAC